UACGAAGGGUGCAAGCGUUGCUCGGAAUUAUUGGGCGUAAAGGGUAGGUAGGUGGUCUCAUUUGUCUGGGGUGAAAGCCUUGAGCUUAACUCAAGAAGUGCCCCAGAAACGGUGAGACUAGAAUCUGUGAGAGGGUCGUGGAAUUCCCGGUGUAGCGGUGAAAUGCGCAGAUAUCAGGAGGAACACCAAUAGCGAAGGCAGCUCGCUGGGACGGUACUGACGCUAAGGCGCGAAAGCGUGGGGAGCGAACAGG
rnacentral:rRNA from 1 species